GAGGUUGUAGCUCAGUGGAUUAGAGCAUCACCCUGCGGAGGUGAGGGUCGCACGUUCGAGUCGUGUCAGCCUCA
rnacentral:tRNA from 1 species